GGGGGAAACAUUGUACAGCCCAGCGGUUCUCACAGACUCUCCUGCAAAGCCUCUGAUUUCACUUGUACUGGCUACAGCAUGAGCUUGGUCCAGCAGGCUUCAUGACAGGGAUUUGUGUGGGUGGCAACAGUGAGUUAUCAGGGUUACUCUCCAUGAGUACAAGUAAAUUAACAGUCCCAAGCAACACCCUUUCAAGUGCAGUCUACCUUAAAAUGACCAAUGUGAAAGCCAAGGACAAGACCUUGUAUUA
rnacentral:lncRNA from 1 species